AUGUUUGUGUUGCGUCACUCAAAUUGCUACAAUCAGCGAUGUUAGGUGUUCUAACUACAACGAUAAAUGCUGUGUAGAAUAGGCUAUAUGGACCCGGGGGCGGUACCCGGCACCUCCAGUUGAUUAUUAGAUCCCGUUGACGUAAGAUCCAGUCCGCAAAUUUUUGGUGACUGGUGUGAGGGGGUGAAACAGGUUCGACAUAGGUAGUAAAAACGCGAGCGUUCGUUCGGCAUUGUUCCGCCGUUAUCGGGCUAAAAACUAUAGAUGCCAUUUUACAACGCAUCGUAGCCAAUCGUAGUCGUCGCAAAGUUGCUGCUAACAGCAAUAAAAAAGCGGCAGGGCAACGGAAGGCUGCCUAAUUUUCCCCCUUUAGUGGGAAUUUAGGUGCCUAUGGCUUGCGGUUCGGGGAGGACCGAGCAACAGAACCUCCCCACG
rnacentral:tmRNA from 1 species